GCUUGCACUUUUCCCGGAAGAGGAAAUCCGUCAGCGACCUAAUGCGGAGAAAACCGGGAAAUUUUAYGGGAUUCGCGUGCAAUCGCGGGAAAGAAAAGCUCCAGCUCUCGGCAGUGCGAGAAACGCUCUGGUGGGCAGCGAUGCCACCGGGCCUGCCAUUUGGGGCGGAAAACGGGAUUUUUUGGUAGCGUGGCGUGGCGGGAAAGGGAGCCGGAGGCGAGCCGAGCCGGAGCGCGGGAAAGGAGGUGCCGUUUGGGGCCAUAAAGAACAAAAGCAGCGCCGGAUGAAAAACAUACYGGCGAGUUGGGCUACGCGGAGUUAUUUGGUGGGAAAAGCUGGUAAAAAGGACGCUCGGGGCCCGGUGGGGAUGGGGGGAGGCGUUCCCACUCCCGGAAAAUCCCCGGAAAACUCAACUUUGUUGCUCAGCUCCAGUUCGGAGACGAGCGCUCGCUGCUUCUGGCGCUGGGGGAGCGCGGGAACUGGGGCUGCCCACACGCCGGGGAUAAGAUAGUAGCUGCUUAUUUUUAUCCGGUUAUUUUUAUCCGGUUACUUUUUAUCCGGUUACUUUUAUCCGGUUGUUUUUACCCAUUUCAACUGAAUCACCGCACGGCUCGGGAGGUGCCGCGGCCCCACCGCCGCCCCCGCUUUCGCCGCUGACCUUUCCCAAGGAAAAGCCAGAACUGGGCAGGCUUCGGCCRCCGAGGAAUAUUUUUUUGGCAGCUGGAAAGCAGGAAGGGUGUGAGGACGGACUGGCUCCGAUAUUGGAGUUGGGAACGGGAGCGGGACGGAGCGGGCGCAGGGCUUGGCCGCGGUGGCGUUGGCGUCGGUGUCCCGCCACCUGGGGAGCGAGGGGAGCUGGAAGGGGAGGCGGAGGGGGCUGAACCGUUUCACCCGGAUUUGCGAUGGGAAUUUGCCGUGAACUCCUGGCCCGGUUGCCGUCACGCUCCUGCUCCCAUCCCCGUCCCCAUUGCCAUCGUGCUCCCRUCUGCGUCGCGCUCCCGUCCCCAUUGCGCUCCCGUCCCCAUCGCGCUCCUGUCCCCAUCACAUUCCCGUCCCCAUUGCCAUCGCGCUCCCGUCCCCAUUGCGCUCCCGUCCUCAUCGUGUUCCUGUCCCUGUCCCUAUCGCGCUCCUGUCCCCAUCCUUGUCCCGCUCCCAUCCCUGUCCCGCUCCCGUCCCCGUCCCACUCUCGUCCCCAUUGCCAUCAUGCUCCCAUCCCCGUUGCCAUCGCACUCCCGUCCCCAUCACAUUCCCAUCCCCACUGUCAUCGUAUUCCCAUCCCCAUCCUGCUCCUGUCCCCAUUGCCAUCGCGCUCCCGUCCCCGUUGCACUCCUGUCCCUGUUGUGCUCCUGUCCCUGUUGUGCUCCCAACCUGUCCCCAUUGCCAUCGUGCUCCCAUCCCUGUUACACUCCCGUCCCCAUUGCCAUCGCCUUCCUGUCCCCAUCACGCUCCCGUCUCCAUCGUGCUCCCAUCUCUGUUAUCCUCCUGUCCCCAUCGUGCUCCUGUCCCCGCUGCGCUCCUGUCCCCAUCCCCAUCACACUCCCAUCCCUGUUGUGCUCCCGUCCCUGUCGCGCUCCUGUCCCCAUCCCCAUCGUGCUCCCGUCCCCGUUGUGCUCCCAUCUCCAUCAUGCUCCUGUCCCCAUCGCGCUCCCAUCCCCGUCACGCUCCCGUCCCCAUCAUGCUCCCAUCUCUGUCCCCUUUGCCAUCGUGCUCCUGUCCCCAUCAUGCUCCCGUCCCCGUCCCUGUUGUGCUCUUGUCCCCAUUGCCAUUGUGCUCCCGUCCCUGUCCCGCUCCCAUCCUUGUCCUGCUCCCAUCCUUGUCCCGCUCCUGUCCCCGUCCCCAUCAUGCUCCUGUCCAUGUCCUACUCCCAUCCGUGUCCCGCUCCCAUCCCUGCUCCCAUCACGCUGUGGCUCUGGGUGCUCCCAGGGACUUUCUCCUCGGUGGCAACCGCCGAGYGGCUCCGCUGGGAAGCGCCGCUCCCCCUGCUCGGGAUGCACCGGGAUAACAGCUGGAAGGGGCCGGGCCAGAUGUGCAGCACCGUCCCUGGGCUCCCGGCGGCUUUCGUUCGGGCCGACCUGCGUCCUCGCCGCGCCGCCGUCCCCGGGGCUCGGCCCGGCGCCACGUGGCCCCGUCUCCCGAAAUCCGGGAGGGGACCCGGAGUACCCCAGGAGCGCGGUCAUCCCCGGCAUCGGCAACGCCCGCGAUGCCGCCGGCCCUGGCAGGUGCCCAACGCCCGGCUGGAGACGGGCAACGCCACGGAGCUCGACGCCUGCCUGCGCUACGCCUGCGAGCYGGGCUACAAGCGCAAGGCCGGCACCUCCAGCCUCACGCGCUGCGUGCUGCUGCCCGGCGCCGCCGAGCCCGCCUGGACCCAGCCCACGCUGCAGUGCAUCCGCGACCCCGCGCUGCCUCCGCUC
rnacentral:lncRNA from 1 species